UACCUUGAUAUUCACGAAUCGAAUCAAAGUUUCUGCUUCACGCUAUAUCAAGUGCCAACACAUACAGGAACUGAGUACUGAAUGUUGAAUGCCGGAUAGCGGCGACGGGUGAGUAACGCGUGGGCAACCUGCCUCAUACUGGGGGAUAACACAGGGAAACUUGUGCUAAUACCGCAUAAUAUCAUUAUAGGGCAUCCUGUGAUGAUCAAAGGAGCAAUCCGGUGUGAGAUGGGCCCGCGUCCAAUUAGCUAGUUGGUGGGGUAACGGCCCACCAAGGCGACGAUUGGUAGCCGAACUGAGAGGUUGAUCGGCCACAUUGGGACUGAGACACGGCCCAGACUCCUACGGGAGGCAGCAGUGGGGAAUAUUGCGCAAUGGGGGAAACCCUGACGCAGCAACGCCGCGUGAAGGAUGAAGGUCUUCGGAUUGUAAACUUCUUUGAUGAGGGACGAACACAAUGACGGUACCUCAAAAACAAGCCACGGCUAACUACGUG
rnacentral:rRNA from 1 species